GUAGGUGAACCUGCGGAAGGAUCAUUAUCGAAUAUAAACUUGGAUGGACUGUUGCUGGCUUUUCUUUGAGGGGGGCAUGUGCACGUUUAUCCUCUUUAUUUUUCCACCUGUGCACCUUUUGUAGGCUUGGAUUAUCAGUGGUUCUAACGUGUCUUUCAAAGGCAUAAGAAUUGUUUUUGGGACUGCUGUGUUUAAACGGAUGUUUAUCGGCUUUCCCUUUUAUCUUCCAAGUCUAUGUUUGCUAUAUACACUCCAGAAAUGUAAUAGAAUGCUGUACUUUAGGUCAUUUGUACCUAUAAUAAAAUCAGUACAACUUUCAGCAACGGAUCUCUUGGCUCUC
rnacentral:misc_RNA from 1 species